rnacentral:rRNA from 1 species
GUGGGGAAUCUUAGACAAUGGGCGCAAGCCUGAUCUAGCCAUGCCGCGUGAGCGAUGAAGGCCUUAGGGUUGUAAAGCUCUUUCGUGGGGGAAGAUAAUGACUGUACCCCAAGAAGAAGCCCCGGCUAACUCCGUGCCAGCAGCCGCGGUAAUACGGAGGGGGCUAGCGUUGUUCGGAAUUACUGGGCGUAAAGCGCACGUAGGCGGACUGGAAAGUCAGGGGUGAAAUCCCGGGGCUCAACCCCGGAACUGCCUUUGAGACUCCCAGUCUUGAGUUCGAGAGAGGUGAGUGGAAUUCCGAGUGUAGAGGUGAAAUUCGUAGAUAUUCGGAGGAACACCAGUGGCGAAGGCGGCUCACUGGCUCGAUACUGACGCUGAGGUGCGAAAGCGUGGGGAGCAAACAGGAUUAGAAACCCCGGUAGUCC